UCAUUUAAGGACAAAAAAAUUAAUUUAUUGGUUUGUCUCUUCCCAAGGUGCUCAAGAGAAAUGCGACUUUGAGAAAUUUCAAUCUCUUCUAAUGCCAAAUUUAUAAUGAUUACGGAAAGUGCUUCAUAUAUUCUUGGAGGCAUGAAGAUCAAGGAUGCAAUG